GGAGAAAACAUUGAUUUGUGAGAAGCAAGUUUGCAUGCUGAGUUAUGCUGCUGGCUCCACACCCUGCUGAGUAAUACACUGCCACUGGCUCACCCAAGAAAGGCAGUGGCACGAGGGAACACAAAAAAACAUGCCAUAAUCCCUUUUUCUGCAUUAUGUGAUCUAAAAAGUCUCUUUCAACUCAAAUUUCUUUGAAUGAACACAACCAAAUCUUGCUCUUCAUCCUGAGUGCAUGCCUCUCCCACAUGGAACACUGGAUAGCCGUCUCAUGGGAUCCCACCAGAUUGCUCUCUCUUUACUGAGCUCUACAUCUCUUAUCUACCUCAAGUAAAUGUAGACUGGUCAACUUUCUGAGGCCUUUUUUGAGUGAGAUAAGAAGAGAGAGAAGGGCAGAAAGUUUAUCCCUCCAGCUUUGCCCUGAAUUCCCUCCAGGCAGGAUGUCUGUCCCCUCUGCACAUUGGAACAAUUUGAGUUGAAAAGGCUGAAGUAUCCCUUGUUGUGCAGCUAGUGUCAAGGCUGACAUAACAUACAGUAUAGGGAUUAUCUUGAUGUUUCCUAGUGACUAAUAUGCCUUUUUGAUGUAAAACAGAUUAGUCUGAUUUCAUUUCCCACCUUCAUUACAACGGCUGUCCAACCCGCACCACAGCACCCCUUCCUGCAUGGCGUCUGAAAUCCUUGCUGAAGUAAUUACAUACAUCAGUGACUGGAUCAAAUUUGCUAUUCCUAUGAUUCACCUGUAACAAUUAUCUUUGCCAGCACUUUUUUUUUUUAGUGGAUAGACCAUUUGAAGCAUUACCUAGGCCAUGCAGAUAAAGAAUACCUGUCAUCUUUAAGUUACUAUCAAAAGGAUAGUGUUGAUAAUAUAAAGAUUAUAGAUAUAUCUUUGUGGAUUAGGGCUUAAUAGGAAAAAGCUCACAGAAUUCCUCAUUUGUUCCAUCCCCAGUCAUGCAAGGCACUAAGCAAAACCGUAUCUUGCGGAAAUUGCUGCACACAGGAAAAACCGCAGACAAUUUAGAAAGCUUUGGCACACAGCUCAGUUCAGUGUCUGAAAGGGAAUGGGAUAGGCUUAGUGGGGCUGAAGAGGAAGCAGAAGAGCUAUGGCAAGCUCAUGGUCUAAAAAGAGACAGGGAAUUAACAUGUUUUAGAGCUCUUCUAGCUGAUAUUUUACACCCUGCUAAGAUUGAAGAUGCCCUGAACCAGACUUGAGCAGCAGAGAGGACUAACAUCCCUCCCAGAGAGAAGGAUUGCUGCUGACUGGAGCUGAGAUUUUCACACCAAAAGCAAAUUUACACAAAUAUAUCUCUGAAUCACAUGCUGGGCUUGGGACCAAGCAACAAAAAUAGCACUGCUGAGUUUUUUCUCUAUUUGGUCAUUGAAUUUAGAUACCUUGAACUUCAGGAAAAUCUUAGCUUUGAUUUUAAACACCUUGAGAUCUGAAGCACCCUGGACUACUGGGAGAUGGUGUUAGCAGAGAAGUGUUCAGUCACAAUAAGCCGUGGAACCCAGGCUUGUGGUUUCCAAGGGACCCACCUCCAACCUUUUAUAUUGAAGUCUAAUUAAUUCAGCUGCAGACAAUAUCUACCCUGUCCUAUGUAGGGCAUUGCACUGUUCCAAGGCUCAUUUGAGCCUACAGUAAUAUUUUACCUGUUGGAAUGGGUCUUUGCUCCAGCUAGUUUAAAGGCAUGUUGUGGCAAUGAGUAGGUGGGGUGUAUUUAGCUGUAAUGAAAACAUUACCAUUCUUGAUCUGAGCAGCUGAAGCAAGAGGAACCAGAGAGAGAGAAAACUACCAAGUGGAGCAAGGAGGGGGGCAGAAGAGGGGAAGAGGGAGUGUUUCCUUGAUGAAAGUCUAAUGAGUUUACAAUUCCAAGAGAGAAGCACUUUUGGAAAGACUAUACAUGGAUGAAAGGGCAUGGACCCCUAAGCAGGAUGAUUCUACAUAGCUGCCACAUUGCUUAGUAAAUAAUCAUGUCAGAAAGGUUACCCAGAGGAUUGGGCAAUAGCUGCUGCCCAGUGCUUCCUUUGCUGGGUUCUAGGCAGCAUGUAGCUGGGAUCAUUGAGUUGGAAUGUUCUUGGACCCUCUGAACAAAAGUGGACAUUGCCCAUUGCCAAAUGUCACAGCCAAAUAAUUUCAGAUUCCCAGGUGUCCCAUUUUUAUAUUUUCCAAAGUUGUCAGGUUGUUACACUCAGGAGUUUUAUUAUAACCUGUGGUAUUUAGCAGGGAGUAUGUCAGAUUCGCUGUGAAUAAACUGUUUUAGAGGUCUACUGUCCA
rnacentral:lncRNA from 1 species